rnacentral:rRNA from 1 species
ACAGAGGGAUAGCCCAGAGAAAUUUGGAUUAAUACCUCAUAGCAUCAUGUUCCGGCAUCGGGAUAUGAUUAAAGUCACAACGGUGGAAGAUGAGCAUGCGUCCCAUUAGCUAGUUGGUAAGGUAACGGCUUACCAAGGCUACGAUGGGUAGGGGUCCUGAGAGGGGGAUCCCCCACACUGGUACUGAGACACGGACCAGACUCCUACGGGAGGCAGCAGUGAGGAAUAUUGGUCAAUGGACGCAAGUCUGAACCAGCCAUGCCGCGUGCAGGAUGACGGUCCUAUGGAUUGUAAACUGCUUUUGUACGGGAAGAAACACUCCUACGUGUAGGAGCUUGACGGUACCGUAAGAAUAAGGAUCGGCUAACUCCGUGCCAGCAGCCGCGGUAAUACGGAGGAUCCAAGCGUUAUCCGGAAUCAUUGGGUUUAAAGGGUCCGUAGGCGGUUUGGUAAGUCAGUGGUGAAAGCCCAUCGCUCAACGGUGGAACGGCCAUUGAUACUGCCGAACUUGAAUUAUUGGGAAGUAACUAGAAUAUGUAGUGUAGCGGUGAAAUGCUUAGAGAUUACAUGGAAUACCAAUUGCGAAGGCAGGUUACUACCAAUGGAUUGACGCUGAUGGACGAAAGCGUGGGUAGCGAACAGGAUUAGAUACCCUGGUAGUCCACGCCGUAAACGAUGGAUACUAGCUGUUGGUGGCAACAUCAGUGGCUAAGCGAAAGUGAUAAGUAUCCCACCUGGGGAGUACGAACGCAAGUUUGAAACUCAAAGGAAUUGACGGGGGCCCGCACAAGCGGUGGAGCAUGUGGUUUAAUUCGAUGAUACGCGAGGAACCUUACCAAGGCUUAAAUGCAGACUGACCGAUUUGGAAACAGAUCUUUCGCAAGACAGUUUACAAGGUGCUGCAUGGUUGUCGUCAGCUCGUGCCGUGAGGUGUCAGGUUAAGUCCUAUAACGAGCGCAACCCCUGUUGUUAGUUGCCAGCGAGUAGUGUCGGGAACUCUAACAAGACUGCCAGUGCAAACUGUGAGGAAGGUGGGGAUGACGUCAAAUCAUCACGGCCCUUACGCCUUGGGCUACACACGUGCUACAAUGGCCGGUACAGAGAGCAGCCACCCCGCGAGGGGGAGCGAAUCUAUAAAGCCGGUCACAGUUCGGAUCGGAGUCCGCAACUCGACUCCGUGAAGCUGGAAUCGC